GUGAUGGUCUCCUGGGGCGUGAAUAAAGACAACUUACGGCAUGCUGUGGAAAUCAUAUGCAAAUUAACUCAUUAGCUUUCCUGGCCAACACCGCAGACAUCCUUCCUAAUGGAGGAAGCUAUCUAUGGACCGCACCUUUAUCGGCUCCCUCCAACCCUCCUCAACAAUUUAUGGAGAAAAACAGGAAAAGCUGAGGGGCUGUCGUUAACUAUGACUUAAGCAUCUGGUUCUCCAAUCUACCUGUCUCUACUCAUCACCCUGGUUCAACUCUGUGUCCUGGAUUCCCCCUCUUCCCAUCCCUGGGCCUCCCAGAGGAGUUUCCCUCUCCAGUUCGCUUGGGCAAGAAGACAGAAGCCAGGCUGUCGGGAAGCAGGGUGAACAUGAAAAUGUCUGUCAGCAGCUUUGCCACAGAAAGCCACCCCAGGCGACCACAGAGCUUCUUCCCUUCUCCUCCACACAUGGCAACUGAGGAAGAGAAAUGAAGUAGGGAGAGGGCCCAGGAGGAGACCAGAACAGCAUGCUGGGACCCUGACAUGGUUCAAAACAUUUUUACACCAGCAGAGAUCUCGCCGGCAGCCGCCCACCCCAAGCGUAGAAUUUAGGUUGCUUUUCUAGUGUGGAACGUGGCUUUGUGUUAAGCUCUGAAAUGGUUGCAGACCAGGAAUCACGCUCUUCCCUCCUUCCAGCUGUCUUCAGCACAGUGCCUGGAGGUACCUCGAAUGCCCUCCUUCCGGAGAGGGAUGGGCAUGGCCUGUGGCCCAUUCCAGGAUGAGAAAAAGUGGUACUGAUGGCCUUGUGGCCUUUGCCUCAUUCAAGCUGUGUUCUGGUCACCUGACUUUGCUGUUCGCUACUCACUGAGCCAAACUGGUCACCGCAGCCCUGGGAGCCAUGAAUGGAGAGACGAGGAGAGACCACUGGCUGUUCUUUACUACGCAACAACUUUGUAGUUUGCAGAGAAAAUACUAAUCAAGCCGUUUUACCCAGGGCAGAUUAACCAAAAAGUAACAGUCAGAGCUUGAAUCCAGACCCCCUGUGGUUUCCAAGCCAGGCUGACUUUAGCACCGUAGGGUAUGAUGCUGGAACACUGGCUGGGGAGCUGGGAGGUUUUGGGGGGUGUGUAUUUCCCUCCCCUGGAUACCACCUGUGAUUGGCAUGUUGGGACACAUAUGUCAUUCUUGUUUUGCCUUUUUUCUUCGUUAUGUGGGGGCGACAAGGAGGAGAAAGAGAAAAUGGAAAAUGCUGA
rnacentral:lncRNA from 1 species